rnacentral:rRNA from 1 species
AACGAACGCUGGCGGCGUGCCUAACACAUGCAAGUCGUGCGGGAAAGUUCCUUCGGGAGCGAGUAAAGCGGCGCACGGGUGAGUAACACGUAGGUAACCUGCCCCCCAGUCUGGAACAACUAGAGGAAACUCUAGCUAAUGCCGGAUGAGACCACGAUCCCUUCGGGGGUUGCGGCCAAAGAUGGCCUCUACUUGUAAGCUAUCGCUGAGGGAUGGGCCUGCGGGCCAUUAGCUAGUUGGUGGGGUAAAGGCCUACCAAGGCGACGAUCCGUAGCUGGUUUGAGAGGAUGAUCAGCCACACUGGGACUGAGACACGGCCCAGACUCCUACGGGAGGCAGCAGUGGGGAAUCUUAGACAAUGGGCGCAAGCCUGAUCUAGCCAUGCCGCGUGAUCGAUGAAGGCCUUAGGGUUGUAAAGAUCUUUCAGUGGGGAAGAUAAUGACGGUACCCACAGAAGAAGCCCCGGCUAACUCCGUGCCAGCAGCCGCGU